rfam:Sorghum bicolor cultivar BTx623 chromosome 4, whole genome shotgun sequence.
UGUUUGCUAUGAUGACAUCUACAAGGACGGUAUCUGAGUAAGGAGGCUCUUAAAAUGGUGCCCCUUCUUUGAUUACAUCUAAUCUGAAUGAGAUUCUGAGCAAAAA